rnacentral:piRNA from 1 species
UCCUUAUCCUUGCCAGCACUUGUAUUG